GUAGGGCAUGAGCUCUCGGGGCAAUUGAUCCUUUCAACUGGGUACAUUUGCUGAAACCUUAGUGGAGCCCUAGGAAAGGGUUGACCUGGCGACUCUAAACACCGGUCACUGGAGAAGAAAGCACUUCCCCUGUCCACUAGUCAUACUCAUUGAGAGUUUGGCAACACCAUCAGCUCGCGGGAACAUUCAGAGAUCAUCUGGACAAUCCGCUGUCGUUCAGUAUUGAAGCUCAAUACAAUGACGAUUCACA
rnacentral:misc_RNA from 1 species